GAUGAACGCUGACAGAAUGCUUAACACAUCAGCAAUUGAUUGGUGGCGGACGGGUGAGUAACGCGUAAAGAACUUGCCUCCCAGGUAGGGACAACAUUUGGAAACGAAUGCUAAUACCUCAUACUGUGAGAGAGCUUUGCGUCCCAUUAGCUAGUUGGAGCGGUAACGGCUCACCAAGGCGAGGAUGGGUAGCCGGCCUGAGAGGGUGAUCGGCCACAAGGGGACGGGGACACGGCCCGUACUCUUACGGGAGGCAGCAGUGGGGAUUAUUGGACAAGGGACCAAAGUCUGAUCCAGCAAUUCUGUGGGCAAGAUGAAGUUUUCGGAAUGUAAAGUGCUUUCAGUUGGGAAGCGGUACCAACAGAAGAAGUGACGGCUAAAUACGUGCCAGCAGCCGCGGUAAUAC
rnacentral:rRNA from 1 species